GCAGAGUCUUCCUGUAAUUGAAGUCAGGGGCGAAGUUCGGCUCCCGUAGGAGUCCGGACGAAGCUUACCAAUGGUUGAAGUUGGUGACAGAGCCCAGCUCCUGUAGGAGUCCGGGCGGAGUCCGCUUGCAGUCGGAGUUGUGGGUGGAGUCCGACUCCCGUAGGAGUCCGGACGAGGUCUGUCUGCAUCCGAAGUCGGGGACGAGGCCCGGCUCCCGUAAGGGUCCGAGCAGAGUCUUCCUACAAUUAA
rnacentral:lncRNA from 1 species